ACCUGGCUGUCUCAGUCGGCAGAGUGUGUGACUCUUGAUCUUGGGGUCCUGGGUUCAAGCCCCAUGCUGGGUG
rnacentral:tRNA from 1 species